rnacentral:rRNA from 1 species
GGGCGUAAGGAGCUCGUAGGCGGUUUGUCGCGUCUGCCGUGAAAGUCCGGGGCUCAACUCCGGAUCUGCGGUGGGUACGGGCAGACUAGAGUGAUGUAGGGGAGACUGGAAUUCCUGGUGUAGCGGUGAAAUGCGCAGAUAUCAGGAGGAACACCGAUGGCGAAGGCAGGUCUCUGGGCAUUAACUGACGCUGAGGAGCGAAAGCAUGGGGAGCGAACAGGAUUAGAUACCCUGGUAGUCCAUGCCGUAAACGUUGGGCACUAGGUGUGGGGGACAUUCCACGUUUUCCGCGCCGUAGCUAACGCAUUAAGUGCCCCGCCUGGGGAGUACGGCCGCAAGGCUAAAACUCAAAGGAAUUGACGGGGGCCCGCACAAGCGGCGGAGCAUGCGGAUUAAUUCGAUGCAACGCGAAGAACCUUACCAAGGCUUGACAUGGGCCGGAUCGCCGCAAAAAUGUGGUUUCCCCUUUGGGGCCGGUUCACAGGUGGUGCAUGGUUGUCGUCAGCUCGUGUCGUGAGAUGUUGGGUUAAGUCCCGCAACGAGCGCAACCCUCGUUCCAUGUUGCCAGCGCGUAAUGGCGGGGACUCAUGGGAGACUGCCGGGGUCAACUCGGAGGAAGGUGGGGACGACGUCAAAUCAUCAUGCCCCUUAUGUCUUGGGCUUCACGCAUGCUACAAUGGCCGGUACAAAGGGUUGCGAUACUGUGAGGUGGAGCUAAUCCCAAAAAGCCGGUCUCAGUUCGGAUUGGGGUCUGCAACUCGACCCCAUGAAGUCGGAGUCGCUAGUAAUCGCAGAUCAGCAACGCUGCGGUGAAUACGUUCCCGGGCCUUGUACACACCGCCCGUCAAGUCACGAAAGUUGGUAACACCCGAAGCCGGUGGCCUAACCCCUUGUGGGAGGGAGC